ACGAACGCUGGCGGCGUGCCUAAUACAUGCAAGUAGAACGCACAGUUUAUACCGUAGCUUGCUACACCAUAGACUGUGAGUUGCGAACGGGUGAGUAACGCGUAGGUAACCUGCCUGGUAGCGGGGGAUAACUAUUGGAAACGAUAGCUAAUACCGCAUAAUAUUAAUUAUUGCAUGAUAAUUAAUUGAAAGGUGCAAUUGCACCACUACCAGAUGGACCUGCGUUGUAUUAGCUAGUAGGUGAGGUAACGGCUCACCUAGGCGACGAUACAUAGCCGACCUGAGAGGGUGAUCGGCCACACUGGGACUGAGACACGGCCCAGACUCCUACGGGAGGCAGCAGUAGGGAAUCUUCGGCAAUGGACGAAAGUCUGACCGAGCAACGCCGCGUGAGUGAAGAAGGUUUUCGGAUCGUAAAGCUCUGUUGUAAGAGAAGAACGGGUGUGAGAGUGGAAAGUUCACACUGUGACGGUAUCUUACCAGAAAGGGACGGCUAACUACGUA
rnacentral:rRNA from 1 species